AGUUCCACAGAAGGAGCUAGCGUUUGCAUGAUCUUAGACCCCUCUGAGCUGUGGUUGUCUGCGUCUGGCACGAGGAAGUUAAAUCCCUGGACCUUGUUCAAUUCAGUACUGGUGCCAGGCUCCCUUGGGAAUCGGAACCCACUAGACUUUGAAGCCUAGCAACUGGGAUCCAUCCGUGCUUUACAGAUGAACAUCUUUCAGGGCAAAUUUUUGGUGAAUCUUUUGGAGAGGAAAAUAUGUUCAAAGAGAUACUGGACCACAAAAGAGAUCACAGGAUUUGCUUCAAAUCAACGGAAACGGCGAGAUCAUGAUGGCAACCUCAUGUCCCUGUCUCACUGCGAAAGAGACAGAACAUCCCACCUUGUGUAAAACAUGGCUUGGUUCUCUCAGCUUUGCCAAACAGGAGCGGCAUUCUACUAUCAACGUCGGCUUUGUACCUGGCACAAGUCUGUGGGGACAUACUAGAAAGGCUCUCAGGCAUGACUUAGAAGCCCCCAUCAGAGCAAGAAAAUUUUAGGAUAUCGUUGCCCCCUCUCUGCUUUGUCUAGCUAUGGUCAAAUCUUGGUUUUUACUUUUUUUUUUUCUGGAACUUUCCAAGGGCUCUUCAUGGAGGUUCAGGGGAUCCUGAAACUGGAUGGUGGUGGUAAUGGUGGUGAUGAUAAUGGUGAUGGUGAUGGUUGAAACAGGUCUUACUAUAUAGCCUUGGUUGGCUUCAAACUCACAGAGAUCUGCCUGCACAUGCCUUCCAAGUCCUAGGAUAAAAAACCUGAACCACCAUGCUGUCCUGAAACUGUAUUUCUGAGGCUUAAUUACAGGAUUACUUUAGGCUCCAAUUAACUAGGGAAACAUGGACAGAGCCUCAAUAGUGACCUGUAGCUUAUAAAUGAGUUUUCUGUUUCCUUCUUUCUCCUGUGUAGCUCAGCAUCCCCCAGCUGAUCCUCAGGUAUGAGAGCAAUUACAGUUUAGGCCUCACUUCCUCAGGUUGCUGCCUCGGGAACUCUGACCUGAAGCCCAGUUUGAGGGAAGAGCCUAUGCCAACCCACAGCUGAGCUGGAACAAAGACCUGCUCAUCACCUUC
rnacentral:lncRNA from 1 species